rnacentral:rRNA from 1 species
UACGGAGGGGGCUAGCGUUGUUCGGAAUUACUGGGCGUAAAGGGCGCGUAGGCGGCCUUCUAAGUCGAACGUGAAAUCCCCGGGCUCAACCCGGGAACUGCGUCCGAUACUGGAAGGCUUGAAUCCGGGAGAGGGAUGCGGAAUUCCAGGUGUAGCGGUGAAAUGCGCAGAUAUCAGGAGGAACACCGGUGGCGAAGGCGGGUCUCUGGGCCGUAACUGACGCUGAGGAGCGAAAGCAUGGGGAGCGAACAGG